rnacentral:rRNA from 1 species
UACGUAGGGUGCGAGCGUUAAUCGGAAUUACUGGGCGUAAAGCGUGCGCAGGCGGUUGUGCAAGGCCGAUGUGAAAUCCCCGGGCUUAACCUGGGAAUGGCAUUGGUGACUGCACGGCUAGAGUGUGUCAGAGGGGGGUAGAAUUCCACGUGUAGCAGUGAAAUGCGUAGAGAUGUGGAGGAAUACCGAUGGCGAAGGCAGCCCCCUGGGAUAACACUGACGCUCAUGCAUGAAAGCGUGGGGAGCAAACAGG